UAGGGGGCGAGCGUUAUCCGGAUUUAUUGGGCGUAAAGCGUGUGUAGGCGGUUUAUUAAGUUUAAGAUUAAAGCCUGGGGCUCAACUCCAGUGUGUCUUAAAAACUGGUAGACUUGAGUGCGGUAGAGGCAAACGGAAUUUCUAGUGUAGCGGUGAAAUGCGUAGAUAUUAGAAGGAACACCAGUGGCGAAAGCGGUUUGCUGGGCCGUUACUGACGCUGAGGCACGAAAGCGUGGGGAGC
rnacentral:rRNA from 1 species